AACACACGCGCGCCGCGUUUAUCGUCACCGCGCCACCGUGUCGCACAGUUCUCCGCAAGUGUUUAUUUACGCGAAAUUGUGAAAGUGUCUGCGAUUUCACGAAGUGAGAGUACUUUGCCCAACCAAACACCUUUGACAGUCAAGUGGGGGUGAAUUGUUUUGCGAAUUUUAGAGAGGCGAGGUUCAAUGGAAGCGAGGUUCGUGACCUGCCGGAGUUUCCAGCAGAUCAAGCCGCCGGAGAAGAGCAUCGCGCCGCCGCCGACGGUGAAGGGGCUCCUGUCUCGCUUCGGGAGCCAGGCACAGGCGCUGUUCGCACCCAAGAAGCCGCGUUUCGGCUCGUCGGUGGCCAUCCACAAGCUCCGCGAGACCAAGUGGUUCAAGCACGAUGAACAGAACAUCCUGUGCGCCGUGCUGGAAUCCGGAUUCGUGCUGGAGGUCCGCGCCGAGGAACCUCUCCCACCGGACUCUACUUUGUGUCCCGAUUACCACAUGUACGCCAUUGCCAUGUGGAAGAAGGGUAAAGAAAAAACAAAGAACCCGGAACAGAUAGAGGUGUAUACAGUACAACAGAAAGGAGUGCGCAAACGUGUCGUCAGGACAACAUUGAGUGCCUUCUGGAAGAAAGAUUCUGUAAUCCGCAUCAACAACAUUGAUGACAAACAGGAGACCCCAAACAACGAGAAAGACAUAAGAGCCAAGCUGGAUAUGGCAACUAAGUCAAGGUUCGAGAGGAACUGGCAUAAUACACUGCAUUUCGUCCACUGGUGUCGGUACGGGGAGACUCCGCAAGAAGCUCGCAUGAGACAGAUCAGCUUAACGACGUCGAAAACACCUAUGAUAAUCAUCUUUUGAUGGUAAUCAUUGAGGCAGUUCGGACCUAACAGCUGGCAACUUAUACACACCGAUAAGCGAGUCGCUAAAGUGGGGCAACAUCGGCAUGAACAUGGGCGUGAUGCUCGUGAGCCAGGCCCACGUCAGGGAAAAGGCUAAAUCAGUCUGAGUGUCACAGCCCAGCGGCUCAACCGCUGGCAACACCUGCUGCGCUUGCUUUUGGCUGCCCAACACCAACAUAGACUACGUCUAAUUUGAAAUUCAAACACCAUUCGAAUUUCAAAUUUCGGAACACGCAGCUGAUAAAAAGUUCCUUUACUUUGAAUUUCAAUUUCGAAUUCUCAAUUUCGUCGUUCUAUUCUACAUCAGUAUUUUGUCUCUCUUUCGCUCCACUAUCUUGAGUUUGUACGGACGCUCUAACGAAGAGGUAAAUUAUUGGACAAAACAAACAUUCCUAAUUAAAGACGCCCCGUGCUAGUAAUAAUGCUCUAAUCUAUGAUAUUACAGUGUUAAUCAGUUUUCGUAAGAUAGGCGAUAAUGUUAAGGCGAAAUCAUGAUUAAUGGUCUGAGAGUGACAACCCUAGUCUUACGUGUUACUUCUAUGUUUUUCUUAUGAAAUAAGACUGUUUUCUAUUAUAUUUAUGAUGGAAUAAUGACAAUUGACUACGACAAACAUAAUUUAUUGAAUUGGAAAUUUAAUACAUCUCUAUCAAUGUUUCGUAGUCUGUUCAGAGUUUGAUAUGUUUAAAGUAUUUCGAUCUUUGUAU